GGUGCUUGUAGUCCCAGCUACUCCUGAGGCUGAGGCAGGGGAAUCGCUUGAACCCGGGAGGUGGAGGCUGCAGUUAGCCGAGAUCGCGCCACCGCUCUCCAGCCUGCGAGCCUGGGCCACAGAGAGAAACUCCACCUCAAAAAGAUAAAUAGAAAGCAGCAUUUAAGAAAUAUCUGAGCUCCUAUGAUUUUUUUCCUCCAAAACUGCCUCUUCUUUUCAUUAAGUAUCUUCUCAUUAAAUACCACUAUUCAUCCAUCUUAUUAAGUGCAGGCCCCAUUCUAGGUGCCAAGAACACAAUGCACAUCAAAGGGAGCCGGGGGUCCCUGUUCUAAUAGAGCUCACUCUUGUGGUGGAGUGGGGGGUGUGAUGAACCAAACUGUGAGUGUUCUUUGCAUCCCUGCUACUACUGGUGGUCUAAGCUUCCUGACCCCUCAUGUGGAUGACAACACAUUAAGUGUUUUUCCUAACUUUCUUGCCAGCCCUCCAGAAAAACCUGCCAGAGAAAUUAGAUCACAAGUCAGAUGAGAUCCAUCUGUUACUCAAAACCCUUCUGCGACCCUCCAUUGCACUUGGACUCAAACCCAAACUCCUCUCUAUGGCUGACAAGGCCUUGCAGGAUCUGCCCGCCCCCAGCCCUAGACAUCACCUCUUCCCCAUCUUCACACAGUCCUCUAGGCUUGAAAUAUUCCCCUACCUGAUCACUUGACUGGUUCAUCUCAGGUCUCACUCACGUCAUUUAAACAGGACCUCUCGGCUGGGCACAGCGGCUGACACCUGUAAUCUCAGCACUUUGGGAGGCCAA
rnacentral:lncRNA from 1 species